GAUGAACGCUGGUGGCGUGCCUAAUACAUGCAAGUCGAGCGAACAGACGAGGAGCUUGCUCCUCUGACGUUAGCGGCGGACGGGUGAGUAACACGUGGAUAACCUACCUAUAAGACUGGGAUAACUUCGGGAAACCGGAGCUAAUACCGGAUAAUAUAUUGAACCGCAUGGUUCAAUAGUGAAAGACGGUUUUGCUGUCACUUAUAGAUGGAUCCGCGCCGCAUUAGCUAGUUGGUAAGGUAACGGCUUACCAAGGCAACGAUGCGUAGCCGACCUGAGAGGGUGAUCGGCCACACUGGAACUGAGACACGGUCCAGACUCCUACGGGAGGCAGCAGUAGGGAAUCUUCCGCAAUGGGCGAAAGCCUGACGGAGCAACGCCGCGUGAGUGAUGAAGGUCUUCGGAUCGUAAAACUCUGUUAUUAGGGAAGAACAAAUAUGCAAGUAACUAUGCACGUCUUGACGGUACCUAAUCAGAAAGCCACGGCUAACUACGUG
rnacentral:rRNA from 1 species